rnacentral:rRNA from 1 species
UACGUAGGGUGCAAGCGUUAUUCGGAAUUACUGGGCGUAAAGCGUGCGCAGGCGGCUUUGCAAGACAGAUGUGAAAUCCCCGGGCUUAACCUGGGAACUGCAUUUGUGACUGCAUGGCUAGAGUGCGGCAGAGGGGGAUGGAAUUCCGCGUGUAGCAGUGAAAUGCGUAGAUAUCAGGAGGAAUACCGGUGGCGAAGGCGGCCUUCUGGACGGUGACUGACGCUGAGACGCGAAAGCGUGGGGAGCAAACAGG